CACGGGGGUUGGAGGGCAAGUUUGGUGCCAGCAGCCGCGGUAAUUCCAGCUCCAAUAGCGUAUAUUAAAGUUGUUGCAGUUAAAAAGCUCGUAGUUGAAUUUCGGGGUUAGUAGGUUGGUCAUGCCUCUGGUAUGUACUGGUCUCACUGAUUCCUCCUUCCUUAUGAACCGUAAUGCCAUUAAUUUGGUGUUGCGGGGAAUUUGGACUGUUACUUUGAAAAAAUUAGAGUGUUUAAAGCAAGCUAACGCUUGAAUACAUUAGCAUGGAAUAAUGAAAUAGGACGUUCGAUCUUAUUUUGUUGGUUUCUAGGAUUGACGUAAUGAUUAAUAGGGAUAGUUGGGGGCAUUAGUAUUCAAUUGUCAGAGGUGAAAUUCUUGGAUUUAUUGAAGACUAACUACUGCGAAAGCAUUUGCCAAGGAUGUUUUCAUUAAUCAAGAACGAAAGUUAGGGGAUCGAAGACGAUCAGAUACCGUCGUAGUCUUAACCAUAA
rnacentral:rRNA from 1 species